CACAGACUAAAAAAUUUAUCUGCGAAAUAUGGAUAAGAGAAAUACGAAUGACAUUUCAAGCAAACAGUGUUGUAGUCUCCACAGAACUUCAGUUUAAAAGGUAAAAAGUUUCCAUUGUUAACCCUACACAGUAUGUGGGAGACCAACAACAAACAAUUUUUACACAAGUACAUUGAUGUCCGUCGAGGAAAAUUAUUCCAAACUUCAGUGAUUGAAAUUAAUAUUUUUAUUCUUCGUUAAUAAUGGCACUAUUAGUCCCUGCAGCAUGUCAAGACUGUUUCCAUCCGGUUGAACUGUUUCUAUUGUACCGUCAACUGUCCUAACUUGGAGAUAACCAAUAUCGUUAAUACCAAUGACAGUCGCCUCUUGUUGGCUUCCGAACUUGUCGCAUAUAUUUACCUUUUGUAAACUAUAAAAAAUUAAGUAUGAUAUAUAUUAAUACAAAAAAGUAUAGUGCAAAUAAUACUUAUGUAGCCAAUGUUCGUAAUAAAGAUCA